rnacentral:rRNA from 1 species
CUACGGGGCGCUGCAGUGGGGAAUAUUGCACAAUGGGCGCAAGCCUGAUGCAGCCAUGCCGCGUGUAUGAAGAAGGCCUCCGGGUUGUAAAGUACUUUCAGCGGGGAGGAAGGGAGUAAAGUUAAUACCUUUGCUCAUUGACGUUACCCGCAGAAGAAGCACCGGCUAACUCCGUGCCAGCAGCCGCGGUAAUACGGAGGGUGCAAGCGUUAAUCGGAAUUACUGGGCGUAAAGCGCACGCAGGCGGUUUGUUAAGUCAGAUGUGAAAUCCCCGGGCUCAACCUGGGAACUGCAUCUGAUACUGGCAAGCUUGAGUCUCGUAGAGGGGGGUAGAAUUCCAGGUGUAGCGGUGAAAUGCGUAGAGGUCUGGAGGAAUACCGGUGGCGAAGGCGGCCCCCUGGACGAAGACUGACGCUCAGGUGCGAAAGCGUGGGGAGCAAACAGGAUUAGAUACCCGGGUAGUC